rnacentral:rRNA from 1 species
GACGAACGCUGGCGGCGCGCCUAACACAUGCAAGUCGAACGAGAGAGAGGGAGCUUGCUUCCUCAAUCGGGUGGCGAACGGGUGAGUAACGCGUGAGGAACCUGCCUCAAAGAGGGGGACAACAGUUGGAAACGACUGCUAAUACCGCAUAAGCCCACAGGUCGGCAUCGACCAGAGGGAAAAGGAGCAAUCCGCUUUGAGAUGGCCUCGCGUCCGAUUAGCUAGUUGGUGAGGUAACGGCCCACCAAGGCAACGAUCGGUAGCCGGACUGAGAGGUUGAACGGCCACAUUGGGACUGAGACACGGCCCAGACUCCUACGGGAGGCAGCAGUGGGGAAUAUUGCACAAUGGGGGAAACCCUGAUGCAGCGACGCCGCGUGGAGGAAGAAGGUCUUCGGAUUGUAAACUCCUGUUGUUGAGGAAGAUAAUGACGGUACUCAACAAGGAAGUGACGGCUAACUACGCGCCAGCAGCCGCGGUAAAACGUAGGUCACAAGCGUUGUCCGGAAUUACUGGGUGUAAAGGGAGCGCAGGCGGGAAGACAAGUUGGAAGUGAAAUCUAUGGGCUCAACCCAUAAACUGCUUUCAAAACUGUUUUUCUUGAGUAGUGCAGAGGUAGGCGGAAUUCCCGGUGUAGCGGUGGAAUGCGUAGAUAUCGGGAGGAACACCAGUGGCGAAGGCGGCCUACUGGGCACCAACUGACGCUGAGGCUCGAAAGUGUGGGUAGCANACAGG